CACUGCGCGACCUGUCCCCACCCCCUCGGUGCGGACCGGCUCGUGUGCCCGGGUCUGAAGGUUUUGGGGGAGCCACCAGGGAGGUAGCUGCUGGGGAGAGGGAGGCGUGUGAGUAAGACGGAGGUGAUGAAGUCACGGCCGCCGAGCCGGGACGGGGAGGAGAGCAGAGGACAGUGAGGAGCGGAGGUGCACAUGUGAAAUGAAAUGUACGGCAGCUAUUCUGCAGCCGUCCAGGCACGAAAAGCUCUAUCCCAUAAGCCUGGUAGCGGUGACGCUCGUGCAGAGCCGAGGAGGCCCGGGACCGCGCGAGCGGCGGUUUCCUUGGGCCACUAGGCCCCGCCCACGACGGCAAUGCUGGAGGCUCCGGGGGACGCUCCGCCCACCGCACGCCUUGGAGGCGGGACUCGCCCCAGCCCCGCCUAUAGAAUCCACGCCUCUCCCUUCGUCCCCGCCCACGCGAGCAAGGGGACUCGUCCCCAGAGCUGACUCUACCCACGGCGGUGUAGACUCCGCCCAGUUCCCCUGUGGUCCUCCGUGCUGAAAUUUCGCUGUUCAAGACCCACCCGCCAGGCAACCGGCUUCCCCCACGUAAGCACCGCCCGCCUUACGUCUUAGGGAUUGGUUCCACGGCGGCCGAGCCCAUCAGCUGCGUACAGUGAGACUCGACCUGCACUCCCCACCCAUCGACCCGGCCCACCAGAGAUGGAGUCAGAUCAGUGCAGGCUUUUUCCCCGCACUGAUUUCCCAUUACAUCGGAGCAGCCCUGCGCCUUUAGAUUGUUAUUCUUUUAUUACCAGUGGUCGUAAGCCUGUGAGAAAACUGCAUGAAGACCAGGGAUCACUUGAUUCUCCCACUUCUCUGGUAGCUCUUGAUGAGAGAAGAAACUUAGCCUUCUAAUUCGCUACUUACACAGUCCUUUUUUUUUGGAGUUGUCAGUGUCUGACAUCCUAUAUUGAGGGGGAGUACUUGGAAGGAAGACUGUAGGAGUGAACUGUUUCGAGUGCGGGAGACUUGAGGCGCUCACUCAUGAUAUAGGAGCUGCCAUCGUCAUAAGCUUUGAGCCUGCUAGACAAACACUGGAGCCUUCAGCUACAUCCCCAGGCCAAGGCACUGAAAACUUGAUGUAUCCUAACCCUUGUUUUUUGUUUGUUUUUGUUUUAACCCUUGAAAAUGCAGAGCAAAGCAUUUUCAGUUGUUCUCACCCAAGCUCUGUGGGAAGAAAGAGAGAGAGAGAGAGAGAGAGAGAGAGAGAGAGAUCAAAAGUGAGAGGUACUGUAGGAGGUUCUGAGACUGAGUUUUGUCUGCUGGUGUCUGAAUGUACACCUAAAUAAAACUAAUCUGCAGAUAAGCAUGACAGACUGGAACGGGCAUUUUUACAGAAUGGGUAUUUGAUGGGAGAAUCGGUAUAAACAAUGCCACCCGUUAUUGAAAUUUUAAAAUUAAGUGCUAUCAAUUUAGUAAGCAUAGUACAAAUUUAAACCAGAAAAGAGUAGAUCUGAAGUUAUUGAAUUUUGGACAUGUAACGAGAAGGAGUCUGGGCUUCAAGGAAAUAAGCCGAUGCUGCUAACAUCCUGGUAUUAUGGAGCAAUGGCCCACGGUUGCACAUCCUUGAUCCAUUUGGCAGACAUUUGCUGGACAUCCAUGGCCCAUAGAACUGCACAGAAAGUUCCUUGGUGAGCAUGGGGUCUCCCUUGUUCCCUGGGAAGCUCCUUAAACAGGAAGGAAGAAGGCUUCCACAGGCGGGAAGCUGGGAAGAGGACUACACUAGACCAACUGAGGCACCUGGAAAGGACUCCUCUCGUGUGUUGAGCUACCUGCAGGCUGUGUGGUGUGCCCCAGCGUUGUAAACUGUCACUAGUGCUGGGGUGGGGUUUGGUGGGGGGAGCUACCUUUGAGUCAUCUCUGCUCCUGUGAGUAACCCCAAUAAAACUUAUGUGAGUUCACUAA